CAUUACCGAGUUUACAACUCCCAAACCCCUGUGAACAUACCUUAUGUUGCCUCGGCGGAUCAGCCCGCGCCCCGUAAAAAGGGACGGCCCGCCGCAGGAACCCUAAACUCUGUUUUUAGUGGAACUUCUGAGUAUAAAAAACAAAUAAAUCAAAACUUUCAACAACGGAUCUCUUGGUUCUGGCAUCGAUGAAGAACGCAGCAAAAUGCGAUAAGUAAUGUGAAUUGCAGAAUUCAGUGAAUCAUCGAAUCUUUGAACGCACAUUGCGCCCGCCAGUAUUCUGGCGGGCAUGCCUGUUCGAGCGUCAUUUCAACCCUCAAGCCCAGCUUGGUGUUGGGAGCUGCAGUCCUGCUGCACUCCCCAAAUACAUUGGCGGUCACGUCGAGCUUCCAUAGCGUAGUAAUUUACAUAUCGUUACUGGUAAUCGUCGCGGCCACGCCGUUAAACCCCAACUUCUGAAUGUUGACCUCGGAUCAGGUAGGAAUACCCGCUGAACUUAAGCAUAUCAAUAAGCGGAGGAAAAGAAACCAACAGGGAUUGCCCUAGUAACGGCGAGUGAAGCGGCAACAGCUCAAAUUUGAAAUCUGGCUUUCGGGCCCGAGUUGUAAUUUGUAGAGGAUGAUUUUGAUGCGGUGCCUUCCGAGUUCCCUGGAACGGGACGCCAUAGAGGGUGAGAGCCCCGUCUGGUUGGAUGCCAAAUCUCUGUAAAUCUCCUUCGACGAGUCGAGUAGUUUGGGAAUGCUGCUCUAAAUGGGAGGUAUAUGUCUUCUAAAGCUAAAUACCGGCCAGAGACCGAUAGCGCACAAGUAGAGUGAUCGAAAGAUGAAAAGCACUUUGAAAAGAGAGUUAAAAAGUACGUGAAAUUGUUGAAAGGGAAGCGUUUAUGACCAGACUUGGGCUUGGUUAAUCAUCUGGGGUUCUCUCCAGUGCACUUUUCCAGCCCAGGCCAGCAUCAGUUUUCGCCGGGGGAUAAAGACUUCGGGAAUGUGGCUCCCCUCGGGGAGUGUUAUAGCCCGUUGUGUAAUACCCUGGUGGGGACUGAGGUUCGCGCU
rnacentral:sRNA from 1 species